GACGUACUUGUACUGAUUGAGAUUUUAACACGAAGUGAGUGGCGAACGGGUGAGUAACACGUGGGUAACCUGCCCAGAAGUAGGGGAUAACACCUGGAAACAGAUGCUAAUACCGUAUAACAGAGAAAACCGCAUGGUUUUCUUUUAAAAGAUGGCUCUGCUAUCACUUCUGGAUGGACCCGCGGCGUAUUAGCUAGUUGGUGAGGUAAAGGCUCACCAAGGCAGUGAUACGUAGCCGACCUGAGAGGGUAAUCGGCCACAUUGGGACUGAGACACGGCCCAGACUCCUACGGGAGGCAGCAGUAGGGAAUCUUCCACAAUGGACGCAAGUCUGAUGGAGCAACGCCGCGUGAGUGAAGAAGGGUUUCGGCUCGUAAAGCUCUGUUGUUAAAGAAGAACGUGGGUAAGAGUAACUGUUUACCCAGUGACGGUAUUUAACCAGAAAGCCACGGCUAACUACGUGCCAGCA
rnacentral:rRNA from 1 species